rnacentral:ncRNA from 1 species
AGUGUUUAAUUUUGGCUUAAAUUUUUACGUUUUUAUUAAAAUUGCAUGAAAAUUAUUGGUGUGUAUAAAUAUAUUUAAUUUUAUAUUAAAAUAUUGUCUUAAAUAAAUAUAAUUAAUGAAUUAUAUAAUCUCAGCAUAAACUAUUAAUUUAUGUGCGAAAGUAUGAAUUAGUAAUAAUAAUUAAAUCUGAUGAAUAUUUGUGCCAGCAUUCGCGGUUAUACUUUAAGAUUAAGUAAAAAAAAUUAGUAAUUUAGUUAAAUGAGAAAUUUUAUAAAUUUAUAAAUAAUAAAAGGUAAAAUUUAAUUGUUAUUUUAUAUAGAUUUAAUAAUUUUAAUUGAAGCUAAAAAAUCUAACUAUAAACUAGGAUUAGAUACCCUAUUAUUUUAGGAAAAAAUUUUAAACUAGAUUAGUAUUAGUUAAAUACUUAAAAAUUAAAAGAUUUGGCGGUGAUUUAAUCUUUUCAGAGGAAUUUGUUUUUUAAUCGAUAAUCCACGAAAAAUCUUACUUGUUUUUGUUGAAUAAUAUCAGUUUGUAUACCAUCAUUAUCAGAUAAUUCUAAAAAGAAAAAUUAUCAAAUAUAAAUAACUAUUAAAAUUAGAUCAUGGUGCAGCCUAUAAACAAGGUAAAAUGAAUUACAAUAAAUUAUUUUAUAAUGAAUUAAUAAAGUAAUUUUUAUUAUGAAGGAGGAUUUGAUAGUAUUAUAAAUUUAAUAAGUUUAUAAGAUAGUGGCUCUAAAUCAUGUACAUAUCGCCCGUCGCUUUCAUUUAUAAAUGAAAUAAGUCGUAACAUAGUAGAUGUACUGGAAAGUGUAUCUAGAAUUAU